rnacentral:lncRNA from 14 species
GUAUCCACUGAUGUAUUUUAGGAACAAGCAACGACCACAUGCAACUAGGCCUCAUAAGAGUUAAGGAAAAGAAAACUCUCCCCAAAUCCUGUUCUAGGAAGUAUUCUGUGCUUCACUUUACUGGAAGAUUAUUUGCCUCUACGCAGACCGCAGUGUGCAACCAGGAAAAAUGGCUCAGAUUCGAGAUAACCAAACUUCCCGCUAAUCACAACUUCAGCUCCUUAAAUUCCUUCUGUAGCAUCUCCACAAAUGUGGGGGUUUAGUCUUUGUUCAUGAAGCAGGGCACAGAGACGAGCCUCGGAAAGGCCGGGACGGUCCCUUGCCUGCCGCGGGGAACUGGGAGCAGGUUCCACACGAGGCCUACUGCAGAAGGGUAAAGAGGAUCCCGUGCCCAAAAUGAAGACCGGUUUCAGCCGCACCGGGGGCAAUACUUGCCCUACCAACCCUCUGGCCCUCCCGGCCUGUCUGCUAAUGCUCGUAAAGAGCAAACUUCGGAAGGAAGCAAGAGACCACCCCCGAAGCGAAGCACCCGGGAGCUCCUUCUCCCUCCACCUCCCCCCCUCCGGCAGCCCGGCCCUCGCAAAGCCGAGCCAGGCUCCUUCAGGCGCCGGCUCCCUCACAGCCAAAGCAGCCUCUUCGGAGAAAGAGAGAGGGAGAGAGGUAACCCCGCGCCCAGGAGGCCCGAGCAGGGAAGGGAAGGAUGAGGAAGGAGAUGGAGCGGGGUUAUAACCCAGCCCGUGUAGAGGAGGGUGACUGGUCAUCACUCUGAUUUGAAAGCAAGGCAACAGCUACAUGUCUGAGCAUGAGUUCCACCAGCCACUGAACCAUCUUACCAAAGAGAAAGAGGGCAGACAGCUUUUUUUGUUGCACACUUUUGUUGCACACUCUUUUGGACUUUCUACUGGUAAAGUCUGUGUUUACAAUGUCCUUUUCCUGAUGGCAAGUGUCACAUUAACCUUGAGCAAACUGCUCAUAGGUAAAAGCUCUGGGGAGAGCUAAUGGCCAAUUCACAAGCUAAUUGCAAAGAUCUGAGAAGUCCCUAAAACCAGUUCUGAAGGUUGAUGCAAACCCCCUCAAGCUGCAUCUAAUGCUGAAGAGAUGCCACAAGAGAAUUCUGGUCAUGACUACCCGAUUACCAGUAUACAUGUCAAAUAACCAGCAGUGGCAAUAAGCAGGCUGCAGGCAGCUCUCUGCAGCAUACACACACUUAGCAGUCACAGCAAACUAUUUUAAGUCCUCCUCCCAUCCUCCAACCUAAAUUGGCCAAUUCUUCAUGAGUCUAAAGUUACAGACUAUGACACACUGCAGACUUCAAGACUCUGAAAAAGGCCCAAGAUUGAAAAGGUGUUCACAAUAAAACCCAGGCCCCUUGAUGUACUUUAAUGGGG